rnacentral:rRNA from 1 species
UACGUAGGGUGCAAGCGUUGUCCGGAAUUAUUGGGCGUAAAGAGCUCGUAGGCGGUUUGUCGCGUCUGCUGUGAAAUCCCAGGGCUUAACCCUGGGCCUGCAGUGGGUACGGGCAAACUAGAGUGCGGUAGGGGAGAUCGGAAUUCCUGGUGUAGCGGUGAAAUGCGCAGAUAUCAGGAGGAACACCGGUGGCGAAGGCGGAUCUCUGGGCCGUAACUGACGCUGAGGAGCGAAAGCGUGGGGAGCGAACAGG